rnacentral:tRNA from 1 species
AAUUCUUUGACAGAAAAAUGUGUUAAGUUUAGAACUUAAAAAUAGGAGAUUUCCUAAGAAUUA